CCUACGGGCGGCAGCAGUGGGGAAUAUUGGACAAUGGGGGGAACCCUGAUCCAGCGACGCCGCGUGAGUGAAGAAGUAUUUCGGUAUGUAAAGCUCUAUCAGCAGGGAAGAAAGAAAUGACGGUACCUGACUAAGAAGCCCCGGCUAACUACGUGCCAGCAGCCGCGGUAAUACGUAGGGGGCAAGCGUUAUCCGGAUUUACUGGGUGUAAAGGGAGCGUAGACGGCGAUGCAAGUCUGAAGUGAAAGGCGGGGGCCCAACCCCCGGACUGCUUUGGAAACUGUAUGGCUGGAGUGAAGGAGAGGUAAGUGGAAUUCCGAGUGUAGCGGUGAAAUGCGUAGAUAUUAGGAGGAACACCAGUGGCGAAGGCGGCUUACUGGACUGUAACUGACGUUGAGGCUCGAAAGCGUGGGGAGCAAACAGGAUUAGAUACCCGAGUAGUC
rnacentral:rRNA from 1 species